rnacentral:lncRNA from 1 species
AGAAGGUAUCACUAAAAAAGAAAAAAAAAAAGUUAAAAAGUUUCAAACAAUAUUGACAGGUGUCUACUCACAAGGUGACUGGGAAAACUGCCCCCAAGGAGAAGUCCAUUUUACCUCCUCCCAAAUUCACAGUAUGAGCGUGUAAGGUCAUCGUUGGGAAACAGAUUGAGAAGGACCACUCUUCAGGUUUACCAGAAGGCUCAGGGUGUGGCCCGUGGUCACAGGCUAAAUUCAUGGUUUCAAAUUUUUAUGGAAAAAAAAAAAAAAACAACAACAACAGAACAAGACACACACACCCAGAUGGCUAAUGAAGGCUGCGCACAAGAGAGUCUGAGUUUACGGUGAAUAAAGCAAGGUCGGCACGGAGAGGUUUUCCGUUCACCAGCUAGUGGGACACAUUCUCCUUUUCCUUUAAGGAGGAAGACAAUGGUGUCGUCCAAUAUCAUGUGAGCAGUUUCAGGUCAAGUUCUUGUGAUAAGAAAAUGAAAGUGUAUAGAGAUGGACCUUCAGAAAUAGGAAUGGGAAAGAUGGAAUAAAAACCCUGAUCAUUAACAGAGACACCCCCACUGGGGUCCAAUAAAGAUUCUUUUUAUAAAGCAGAAACAAACAACUUAAAGAUUUACCACUCUCUGUAAAGAAAAUACCAGUAUGUUGAAGAUGCAUACUAGCAGGGUAUGUAUCAGCAAUGUCAUGUGAACUUGUAGGAACUUUUGCCUUUUCCUGCACAAGACAGAUCAUUGUCCAGUCCGAGUGUUAGCUGGAGACUGAGAAGAACCUAAAAAAAAAAAAAAAAAAUGCUUCUUUUUUUUUUUUUUUCCUUCUUUUUCUCAUGGUCACACAUCCACACAAAUGAGUCUUUUGGAUGAGAAAAGUCACAGCAACUUGAGUCCUCCAAAUGGGUAGAUGACUUUUUAGCCCUGUUUGCUGAUGGGGAAAACAA